rnacentral:rRNA from 1 species
GAGAUUCCCCCAGUAGCGGCGAGCGAACGGGGAGCAGCCCAGAGCCUGAAUCAGUGUGUGUGUUAGUGGAAGCGUCUGGAAAGGCGUGCGAUACAGGGUGACAGCCCCGUACACAAAAAUGCACAUACUGUGAGCUCGAUGAGUAGGGCGGGACACGUGGUAUCCUGUCUGAAUAUGGGGGGACCAUCCUCCAAGGCUAAAUACUCCUGACUGACCGAUAGUGAACCAGUACCGUGAGGGAAAGGCGAAAAGAACCCCGGCGAGGGGAGUGAAAAAGAACCUGAAACCGUGUACGUACAAGCAGUGGGAGCACGCUUAGGCGUGUGACUGCGUACCUUUUGUAUAAUGGGUCAGCGACUUAUAUUCUGUAGCAAGGUUAACCGAAUAGGGGAGCCGAAGGGAAACCGAGUCUUAACUGGGCGUUAAGUUGCAGGGUAUAGACCCGAAACCCGGUGAUCUAGCCAUGGGCAGGUUGAAGGUUGGGUAACACUAACUGGAGGACCGAACCGACUAAUGUUGAAAAAUUAGCGGAUGACUUGUGGCUGGGGGUGAAAGGCCAAUCAAACCGGGAGAUAGCUGGUUCUCCCCGAAAGCUAUUUAGGUAGCGCCUCGUGAAUUCAUCUCCGGGGGUAGAGCACUGUUUCGGCAAGGGGGUCAUCCCGACUUACCAACCCGAUGCAAACUGCGAAUACCGGAGAAUGUUAUCACGGGAGACACACGGCGGGUGCUAACGUCCGUCGUGAAGAGGGAAACAACCCAGACCGCCAGCUAAGGUCCCAAAGUCAUGGUUAAGUGGGAAACGAUGUGGGAAGGCCCAGACAGCCAGGAUGUUGGCUUAGAAGCAGCCAUCAUUUAAAGAAAGCGUAAUAGCUCACUGGUCGAGUCGGCCUGCGCGGAAGAUGUAACGGGGCUAAACCAUGCACCGAAGCUGCGGCAGCGACGCUUAUGCGUUGUUGGGUAGGGGAGCGUUCUGUAAGCCUGUGAAGGUGUGCUGUGAGGUAUGCUGGAGGUAUCAGAAGUGCGAAUGCUGACAUAAGUAACGAUAAAGCGGGUGAAAAGCCCGCUCGCCGGAAGACCAAGGGUUCCUGUCCAACGUUAAUCGGGGCAGGGUGAGUCGACCCCUAAGGCGAGGCCGAAAGGCGUAGUCGAUGGGAAACAGGUUAAUAUUCCUGUACUUGGUGUUACUGCGAAGGGGGGACGGAGAAGGCUAUGUUGGCCGGGCGACGGUUGUCCCGGUUUAAGCGUGUAGGCUGGUUUUCCAGGCAAAUCCGGAAAAUCAAGGCCGAGGCGUGAUGACGAGGCACUACGGUGCUGAAGCAACAAAUGCCCUGCUUCCAGGAAAAGCCUCUAAGCAUCAGGUAACAUCAAAUCGUACCCCAAACCGACACAGGUGGUCAGGUAGAGAAUACCAAGGCGCUUGAGAGAACUCGGGUGAAGGAACUAGGCAAAAUGGUGCCGUAACUUCGGGAGAAGGCACGCUGAUACGUAGGUGAAGCGACUUGCUCGUGGAGCUGAAAUCAGUCGAAGAUACCAGCUGGCUGCAACUGUUUAUUAAAAACACAGCACUGUGCAAACACGAAAGUGGACGUAUACGGUGUGACGCCUGCCCGGUGCCGGAAGGUUAAUUGAUGGGGUUAGCGCAAGCGAAGCUCUUGAUCGAAGCCCCGGUAAACGGCGGCCGUAACUAUAACGGUCCUAAGGUAGCGAAAUUCCUUGUCGGGUAAGUUCCGACCUGCACGAAUGGCGUAAUGAUGGCCAGGCUGUCUCCACCCGAGACUCAGUGAAAUUGAACUCGCUGUGAAGAUGCAGUGUACCCGCGGCAAGACGGAAAGACCCCGUGAACCUUUACUAUAGCUUGACACUGAACAUUGAGCCUUGAUGUGUAGGAUAGGUGGGAGGCUUUGAAGUGUGGACGCCAGUCUGCAUGGAGCCGACCUUGAAAUACCACCCUUUAAUGUUUGAUGUUCUAACGUGGACCCGUGAUCCGGGUUGCGGACAGUGUCUGGUGGGUAGUUUGACUGGGGCGGUCUCCUCCUAAAGAGUAACGGAGGAGCACGAAGGUUGGCUAAUCCUGGUCGGACAUCAGGAGGUUAGUGCAAUGGCAUAAGCCAGCUUGACUGCGAGCGUGACGGCGCGAGCAGGUGCGAAAGCAGGUCAUAGUGAUCCGGUGGUUCUGAAUGGAAGGGCCAUCGCUCAACGGAUAAAAGGUACUCCGGGGAUAACAGGCUGAUACCGCCCAAGAGUUCAUAUCGACGGCGGUGUUUGGCACCUCGAUGUCGGCUCAUCACAUCCUGGGGCUGAAGUAGGUCCCAAGGGUAUGGCUGUUCGCCAUUUAAAGUGGUACGCGAGCUGGGUUUAGAACGUCGUGAGACAGUUCGGUCCCUAUCUGCCGUGGGCGCUGGAGAACUGAGGGGGGCUGCUCCUAGUACGAGAGGACCGGAGUGGACGCAUCACUGGUGUUCGGGUUGUCAUGCCAAUGGCACUGCCCGGUAGCUAAAUGCGGAAGAGAUAAGUGCUGAAAGCAUCUAAGCACGAAACUUGC